UGAGUUGAGUAGAUGAUCGCGUCCCAAAUCCGUUGUGAUGGGAUGAGGAAAGUCCGGACUCCACAGGGCAGGAUGCUGGGUAACUCCCAGGAGCGGUGACGCUAUGGAAAGUGCAACAGAAAGUAGACUACAUCGUUCACUCUCUAUUGGUAAGCGCGGUGACAAACCGCGCCUACCGAAAAAAAAUGGACUCCAUGGGUAGGCGCGCUUUUAAAGCGCGCUUACCGGGGGAAAUUGAACGGUGUACAGGUGAAACGGUGCGGUAAAAGCGCACCAGUCCAUAAGGUGACUUAUGGAGCUCGGUAAACCCCAUCUGGAGCAAGGUAAAAUGAGGACAUGCAAGGGUGUGCCCGCUUCGUCCCCAGGUAACCGCUAGAGGUGAAUGGUAACAUUCAUCCGAGAUGAAUGAUCAUCGUAUACAGAAUCCGGCUUAUUCUCAACUCAAGCC
rnacentral:RNase_P_RNA from 1 species